rnacentral:rRNA from 1 species
GUAGGGAAUCUUCCGCAAUGGGCGAAAGCCUGACGGAGCAAUGCCGCGUGAGUGAAGAAGGCCUUCGGGUCGUAAAACUCUGUUAUAAGAGAAGAACAAAUUGUAGAGUAACUGCUACAGUCUUGACGGUAUCUUAUCAGAAAGCCACGGCUAACUACGUGCCAGCAGCCGCGGUAAUACGUAGGUGGCAAGCGUUGUCCGGAUUUAUUGGGCGUAAAGGGAGCGCAGGUGGUUUCUUAAGUCUGAUGUGAAAGCCCACGGCUUAACCGUGGAGGGUCAUUGGAAACUGGGAAACUUGAGUACAGAAGAGGAAUGUGGAACUCCAUGUGUAGCGGUGGAAUGCGUAGAUAUAUGGAAGAACACCAGUGGCGAAGGCGACAUUCUGGUCUGUUACUGACACUGAGGCUCGAAAGCGUGGGGAGCAAACAGGAUUAGAAACCCGAGUAGUCC